CGGUGGACGGGUGAGUAACACGUGGAUAACCUACCUAUAAGACUGGGAUAACUUCGGGAAACCGGAGCUAAUACCGGAUAAUAUUUUGAACCGCAUGGUUCAAAAGUGAAAGACGGUCUUGCUGUCACUUAUAGAUGGAUCCGCGCUGCAUUAGCUAGUUGGUAAGGUAACGGCUUACCAAGGCAACGACGCAUAGCCGACCUGAGAGGGUGAUCGGCCACACUGGAACUGAGACACGGUCCAG
rnacentral:rRNA from 1 species